AUGAACGGCGGCGGCAGGAAGUUCGGCGGCGGGCGGCUGCCGACGGGGACCCCGUCGCUGGCCUGGUCAUCGGUGGUCGUGGUCGCCUCCCUCCUCGCGGGGGCCUCCGUCGUCCACAACGUCUACAAGCCUGACAUGACCAUUCCGCCGGUGGAGAGUGACGACGGAGGAGGCGGCGGCAUUGACGGCAAGCAGAGCUGA
rnacentral:rRNA from 1 species